UACAGAGGGUGCGAGCGUUGUCCGGAAUUAUUGGGCGUAAAGAGCUCGUAGGCGGUGUGUCGCGUCAGGAGUGAAAACUCGGGGCUUAACCCCGAGCCUGCUUCUGAUACGGGCAGACUAGAGGUAUGCAGGGGAGAACGGAAUUCCUGGUGUAGCGGUGAAAUGCGCAGAUAUCAGGAGGAACACCGGUGGCGAAGGCGGUUCUCUGGGCAUUACCUGACGCUGAGGAGCGAAAGUGUGGGGAGCGAACAGG
rnacentral:rRNA from 1 species